GACGAACGCUGGCGGUGUGCUUAACACAUGCAAGUCGAACGGAAAGGCCCUGCUUUUGUGGGGUGCUCGAGUGGCGAACGGGUGAGUAACACGUGAGUAACCUGCCCUUGACUUUGGGAUAACUUCAGGAAACUGGGGCUAAUACCGGAUAGGAGCUCCUGCUGCAUGGUGGGGGUUGGAAAGUUUCGGCGGUUGGGGAUGGACUCGCGGCUUAUCAGCUUGUUGGUGGGGUAGUGGCUUACCAAGGCUUUGACGGGUAGCCGGCCUGAGAGGGUGACCGGCCACAUUGGGACUGAGAUACGGCCCAGACUCCUACGGGAGGCAGCAGUGGGGAAUAUUGCACAAUGGGCGGAAGCCUGAUGCAGCAACGCCGCGUGCGGGAUGACGGCCUUCGGGUUGUAAACCACUUUCGCCUGUGACGAAGCGUGAGUGACGGUAAUGGGUAAAGAAGCACCGGCUAACUACGUG
rnacentral:rRNA from 1 species